rnacentral:rRNA from 1 species
UACAUGCAAGUCGAGCGGACAGAAGGGAGCUUGCUCCCGGAUGUUAGCGGCGGACGGGUGAGUAACACGUGGGUAACCUGCCUGUAAGACUGGGAUAACUCCGGGAAACCGGAGCUAAUACCGGAUAGUUCCUUGAACCGCAUGGUUCAAGGAUGAAAGACGGUUUCGGCUGUCACUUACAGAUGGACCCGCGGCGCAUUAGCUAGUUGGUGGGGUAAUGGCUCACCAAGGCGACGAUGCGUAGCCGACCUGAGAGGGUGAUCGGCCACACUGGGACUGAGACACGGCCCAGACUCCUACGGGAGGCAGCAGUAGGGAAUCUUCCGCAAUGGACGAAAGUCUGACGGAGCAACGCCGCGUGAGUGAUGAAGGUUUUCGGAUCGUAAAGCUCUGUUGUUAGGGAAGAACAAGUGCGAGAGUAACUGCUCGCACCUUGACGGUACCUAACCAGAAAGCCACGGCUAACUACGUGCCAGCAGCCGCGGUAAUACGUAGGUGGCAAGCGUUGUCCGGAAUUAUUGGGCGUAAAGGGCUCGCAGGCGGUUUCUUAAGUCUGAUGUGAAAGCCCCCGGCUCAACCGGGGAGGGUCAUUGGAAACUGGGAAACUUGAGUGCAGAAGAGGAGAGUGGAAUUCCACGUGUAGCGGUGAAAUGCGUAGAGAUGUGGAGGAACACCAGUGGCGAAGGCGACUCUCUGGUCUGUAACUGACGCUGAGGAGCGAAAGCGUGGGGAGCGAACAGGAUUAGAUACCCUGGUAGUCCACGCCGUAAACGAUGAGUGCUAAGUGUUAGGGGGGUUUUCCGCCCCCUUUAGUGCUGCAGCUAACGCAUUUAAGCACUUCCGCCCUGGGGGAGUUACGGUCGCAAGACUGAAACUCAAAGGAAUUGAC